UGAGGAAAUUGAGGCUCCUGCAAUUAGAAGUAUAAAAUCAGAGACUGGGACCCACAACCAUUCGUUCCAGCCCCAGCUCCCUCGUUUUAGUAACCGGCAACCCCAUCCACCUUGGUGCUUAGCUCAAAAAUGUCAGGAGCCUUCCCUCUGCCACAGUGUUGACACAGAGGGUUCGUCUUCCUCCUAAAUUAGCGGGACCUUGCGCUGGCAGAUGGACCCUCCUACCAGAACUCCCAUCUGUUGAUUUUGUGCUCCAUGCCGCAGCUCCUGAAUGGUGCCGAUAUGUUUUAAUCUUUAAAAUAUAUGUGACUUUGACAUUCUACUCAUUAACAUCUCUAUUUGUAUGAACAGAGAAAUAAAAUGUUUUUCUUAGCCAAAUCUUUGAAUAAUAUCGAAGCUUGAAGGAAAUGAGCCGUGGCCUUGAGCACCCAGAACACACUGAUAAAGCUGAUGCAUUUGGUUGUGUGUUUCCAGUUAGUCAACCCCAGCUUGCCUCUUGGCAGACGACAGUAACAGAUGAGAAGGUGCUUUCUGUGUCAGCAUUAAUGUAUCAUUGAAAGCAAAUCACUGCCAAUUUGUAAGAUGAGACUGCCAUCUAAGAGAAAAACCACCAUAUUAUCAGGCUGAAAUAUUUGGAGGGGAAAACUGAAGAUGGAGGCAGAGACUGCAGUCAGGCAGCUGCAAGGUGAGGAACACCACGGACUGACGGCACCAGCAGAAACGAGGAAGAGGCAAGAAAGGAUUCUACCCAGAGCCUCAGAGAGAGCAUGGCCCUGCUGACACCUCGAUUUCAGACUUGUAGCCUCCAGAACUGGAGAUAAUAAAGCUCUGUUUUUCUAAGCCA